rnacentral:sRNA from 1 species
CACAGCUGACGUGGGGGUGUGUGUCCCUCUCCCGCAGGAACUCUCUGUUUCUCUCCAGAAUAGCUCCAGAAGCUUCGAAAAAGCUUCACCGAAGGAAAAACAAUAAGAAACAAUAGCAGCUUGCGUCCGUCAGAGACGUCAUCGUUUGUCACUUGACAUUUGGAAUACACGAAGCACGACGCACGAUGCACGACGCACGAAUAUCGCGACGCGUGCGCCUCCCCAAGUGCCCAGCCCUGGAGAAGCGCCAAACGUUCGAAACGGGGCUCUGAGUCUCAAGAACCCUAUCUCAGAAUGCUUUGCAGGAAUCUUAAGUUCUUUAACGAUAAUAAAUACGAAUCAAAUUGGAAAACUUUAAUAUUUCAGAAGGUUGCCUAGAUUUGUGACCGAGCUCUGACUUUAUAAUUAUAAAGGCAGAAAAGCUACGACGCGCGACUACGAGUAUUCUCCAAUAAAUGUCUAUAUAUGUAUGUAUCUACUGCGGGUAUAUUUUGAUACCAUUAUGGAAAGAAAGAGGAAGCGAGAAGGCGACGAGGACGAAGAUAAUAAGGUUCUCAAGAAAGAAGGAUGGAGGAUCAUGAUCAAACAAGUAUAUGUAAUCGAAUGAUGGUGAAGCAGAUCUUGCUAAUGAUUAACUAUAACCAUAGACACUAGACUAAAUCCCAAUUAGUACGUCCACAGGAAACAAAAAUCCUCACAAUUUAUGCGCUUAAAUGGAAACAAAUUUCUCAAAUGCUUUCGAACACUUAAAAAAAUGCAAAUGCGAUCCCAUGCAUUCUCGGCAGAAUCCAUUGCAUGAAGCACAUCUUACACCCUACCGAAUUAUUAACGGAAACUAUAGCCAAUAGACUUCACCAAACAAUCAACCUGUCCCGCGUUAUAUAUGGGGUCUUAAGAUCCUUCUGCGUGAGGCAGACCCGCCUAGGAGAGCAUCCGUAUUAUCAGGUACCCCCAAACUGAAGACGUCUUAACGAUUAAAAAGUAAAACAAAAACUGAAAUGAAUCGGAAUAUUUUGAUCCGAUUUUUCAGACAUUUGGUAUACAAAAUGCUUUCAACUUGAGCCUCUGAAUGCGUAAAAAUAAAUAAUAAUAAAUGGAAAUAUGAAAAAACUACCUGAUUU